UGAUCAUCAUGCCUUGGGUUGCAUAUUUAAGUUUUAUUAUGUGUUCUUGUGUGAAUCCUCUUCUUCUUAUCUCCACCUCAUUUCUUCACCAUGCACAUAGCAGCAGCCAUUCAUCAAGUUCACCCAAGUAUCUAUCCCAUCCUAACUUCUCCUUUCUUCUUUAUUCCAUUUAUUGUUUUCUUGUGACAUUUUUCCUGUUCAGGAAAAUGUUCAACAUUUCCCUAUAAAUCCUAUAUGAUGCCUACACUCACUCUCUCUGCAAAAUUUUAGGUCGUUUGGACUUGUUUUGGUUGGGUUCAAAAAUGGCUCAAGUUUGAAUUUAAUUCAAACUUGGAUUAUUUUUCUACCACUAAAACUUGCCAAAUCAAUUUAUUCAAAUCUUUCAUAAAUCCAGGUGUUCUGAGAGAUGUUUAUAUCUCUCGUAUUCCUUCCCAAAACCCCUGGCCUUUUCUCUUAAAAUCUGUUUGUUUUGUUUAUUCAAAUAAAUAGAAGUUUUAAGAGAAGGGAAUGGUUUACCUGGAGCUCAGACGCGGCCCAGUAAUAGCAGCCCGCAGCCCAUCCUAGCCCCCCUCUGCUGAUAAUUCCAGCUUGCCACGCUCGUCACCCGCUGAGCCCACCUGCAGCGACCGUUCCUUCUCCCUUUUCUUCCUCCUCUCGGCACAUCCCCCUCACAGUAAAAAAACGGAGGAGAAGCACACAUGGACACGAGGGCAAGCCCCGACACCGCGCCCCCUCCUAUAAAGCCGCCCCGGUCCUCACCCUAGGGUUUCUCUCCUUCCUCUCUUCCCUCUGCGCCGCCGCCUCUCCACAAAUCCCCACUCGCGCCCUGCCCCGCUGCUUCCAGGAGCCAUGGUCAGCGAGACCACGAGCUUCCCUCCGGCAUAGGAGCUCCACCGGCCUCCCUUCUUGCGCCUCCGAGCACCGCCAUGCUGUCUCGGUUCCAUUCAGACGCCAAGGCGCCAAGUCCCUCGACGUCCUCUUCCUCCGCUUCGCCUUCUUCACGGAUCAGGGAAACUCCAAGUUCGGCGAGCUUCCUCGUCGCCUUCUUCGUCUUCAAUCAAGGCCAGGAGCCGGAAGGACCCAAGGCUGACGCGAUCGAAUCCUUCACGAUGUCGUCUUCUCUGCUUCCUCUUCUUCACCGACCCGAACACCUCCGCAACCGGUGCCUCCUCGCGCCUCUGUGGUCGCACUUCCGACCUCAUCUUCUUGUCCCGAGCCCUUGGUGAGCAGCCGCUCCUCCCCAUCUCUCUCUGGUUUGAUUCGUCGCGGUAGCCGCCGAUCCCAUCAUGUCCGAGGCCAUGUCCGUUAAGUAUGACCAUGGCAACGAGCUCGAGCUCAUGUUCUAGGCUUCUAGCCUCUGCUUGUCUCACAUGUGCAUGCAUCCACACUUAGCACUCACGCUCGUAGCACACGCCAUCUCGCUCGCGAGCCCCAUUGCCCUGCUUCACCCGCCACUGUCGCUCUUACCUCGCAUGACUGUGCGCCAUAGCUGAGAUGAGUUCUAGGUCGAAGCUCGAGCUCCGGCGUCCUUACUCUGCUCCCUCCAUGAACACGUGCGCGCUCACCUAUUUCCGCACCCCCGCCAGUGUCUCUGCUGCUACAGAAGCCGCUGCCUUUGCUCGGUGCCGUCGUCGUCGGUUGUUGUUGUGCAACCAUAGUCAAACUCGAUCCGCUGAAAGAUGCUCAAAGGGGACAGAGAGCUAUUUGUAUCACAAACGCAAGCCAGCCGGGCUCGUCAGCGCGCAUUCUCAUGACCGAAAGGUCCUAGGAUCAAAUCCCAGGCAGCCUCAAAUCCUUUUUCCCUUGUGUAUUGUUUUUUUUCAACCAUGCACAUCUAGCCACUUAGGCCUCGUUCGCUUCUGGGCCGCUGCACUGUGCUGCAAUCCGGCCCACGCAUAUUUUUUCCCACUCUGUGUAUUUUAGCUUUUUCCAGUGCAUUCUUAUUUACAGUAAUGCCAUCAGUUUAAAAUGCUCAUUACUAAAUAUCCAUGCAUCCAAAUGAAACAUGUCAUAUAUGCAUCUUGCUCAGUUUUUCUUGUUCUUUAACAAUAUGCAACUUUCAUCCCUGUUUAAAAUGAUUAAAAUUGUUGUUUGCAUUGUUUUGCACAAAUGACAUGUUGAAAUAGUUUAUUUCAUAACUUAAUAGCCGUAACUCCAAAUUUAAUAAACUUUAUAUGUAAAUGUUGUGGGAAAAUGCAUAGAUUAACUUGCUGCACUUUAUUUUCCUGUUUAACAACAUUAAAAUUGUGUAUAGGGAAGAACAGUACCAAAUUCAAAAUAUGCAUAUGAGGAUUUCCCGGAAUUGUUGUUUGAUGUUCCGGCCUCAUUUAAACAUGCCUAGAUAGGUAGUUUUAUUAUGCUUCACCCUUUUCCAUGUUAAUCAACAUUUAAUAUUGUUGGGUACCUAAACGGGAGCGAACUAAAUAAUUGAAUGUGGUGGUUCGUCAAUAUGCAACUCGUUGCGUAUUGAGCUCCACUUAACUUGUAGUAUUGUUUGUUGCACUUUGCCAUGCCAUGCCUCAUUCAACCGAACAUGCAUCAACUUGGUUGUGCAUCAUGCAAUGUUUAUGUGUUGUGUGUUUACCAUGUUGUUUGCUUCUUUCCGGUUGUGCUUCUUCUCGAUAGUUCCUGUUUCGUUGGGAUCAUGAGGAUUCGUUCAUCUAUGCUUGGUUCGUCUUCACCCGUUCGUCUUCUUCAUGGACUCGUUCUCCUUCCUAGCGGGAUUUUAGGCAAGAUGACCGUUACCUUGGAUCUCACUACUAUCAUUGCUAUGCUAGUUGCCUCGUUCUAUCGCUAUGUUGUGCUACCUAUCACUUGUUUACCAUGCCUCCCAAAUUGCCAUGUCAGCCUCUAAAAUUUUUCACCCUUCCUAGCAAACCGUUGUUUGGCUAAGUUACUGCUUUGCUCAGCCCCUCUUAUAGCGUUGUUAGUUGCAGGUGAAGUUGAAGAUUGCUCCAUGUUGGAAUAGGAUUAUGUUGGGAUAUCUCAAUAUCUCUUAUUUAAUUAAUGCAUCUAUAUACUUGGUAAAGGGUGGAAGGCUCGGCCUUAUGCCUGGUGUUUUGUUCCACUAUUGCCACCCUAGUUUCCGUCAUACCGGUGUUAUGUUCCUUGAUUUUGCGCCCCUAACACGGUGUGGGUUUAUGGGCCCCUCUUAAUAGUUCGCUUUGAAUAAAACUCUUCCAGCAAGGCCCAACAUUGGUUUUACCAUUUGCCCAUCAUAAUAACUAAACUUGAUAUUAAAUUUGUCGCAGAGGGAGUUAGCGCUACCCGAGGAGUAAUUCUACAUAAACAGGGGGGGCAGUGCUAAUGGUGUUGGUCCCAAACUAGAGCACUGUGCGGGGCCGCCCUGGGGCAACCUGGGUUAUUUUUGCACCAAUACACGUAGCUCAUCCGUCGUGGCCCGAGACGAGAUACGCGCGGCUACUAUCAGGGUGUCUGCACCUCGGGAGGUCUUGCUGGGCUUGUUUUACCAUUGUCGAAAUGUCUUGUGCACCAGGACCCCUAGUCUGAUUGGAUAUCCCGCGAUGGAGGAUUGUCUCCACGGAUCGUGAGCUUAUAAUGGGCUAAGAUGGGACACCCCUGCAGGGUUUAAACUUUCAAGAGUCGUGCACGCGGUUAUGUGGCAGAUGGGAAUUUUUUAAUAUCUAGUUGUAGAGAACUUGACACCAGACUCGAAUUAAAAUGCACCAACCGCGUGUGUAAUCAUGAUGGUCUCUUUUCGAGUGGGUCGAGAAGAGAACACGGUGGGGUUAUGUUUGAACGUAAGUAGUUCAGGAUCACUUCUUUAUCAUUACUAGUUUGCGACCUAUUGCGUAGCUUCUCAUCUAUUUUUUGUACUCGUAAGUUAGCAACCAUAUCAUGCUUAGUCGCUUGCUGCAGCCUCACCACUUAUCCAUUCCAUACCCAUUAAGCUUUGCUAGUCUUGAUACCCAUGGUUAUGGGAUUGCUGAGUCCUCGUAGCUCACAGAUUACUACAACAAAAGUUGCAGGUACAGGUAAUGCAAUGAUCAUGACGCUAGAGCGAUGUUUACUUGUUUUGGAGUUCUUCUUCUGCUUCUUCUUUGAUCAGGGGAUAGGUUCCAGUUCGGCAGCUUGGGCUAGUAGGGUGGAUGUCGUUUGAGUUUCUGUUUGUGUUUCAUCCAUAGUCGGAUGUUGCUCUCAUGUAUGAUGUUGUUGUAUUCGUGUGGCUUUUUUUGCCUUCUGGUAUGUAUCCCCUUUUAUUAUGUAAUGGUACGAUGUAAUGAUAUCCACCUUGCAAAAGCGUCUCCAAUAUGCGCUUCUAUCCUUGGUGGCACCUCCUAGUUCCUUUAGGAUAGGGUCUCAUAUUGGGCAUGACAAGUUGGUAUAAGAGCCUCGACCGGCCAUAGGAGCCCCCUUGAUUAUUCAUAUUUGGCCAUUGCUGAGGCUAGAAUAAAACUAUUUUCCGAGUCUAGUUAUAUCCGAGAGUAGGAAUUCUUUUUACUCCUUUGCCCCUUCGUCGCUCUGGUGAGGAAUCUUGACGUAGGUGUUUCGAACUACUCCUCUUCCCCUUCAAACUUUCUUUACGAUCACGCGGUUAGUUUUUCGUUCGUUGGUUCUCAACUCUUUUCAUCCGGUGCAUUUCUCAUCAAGUUGAUUCGACCCUCUUUGUUUUCGCAAGAUCAAUCCUCAGUUCUUUCUCAUCGAGGUUCUUUCCCCAUCCUCGGUUGUUUUCUUUUCCCACCCGCCCACCCUUUUUCUUCUUGGAGCCGGAGUCCCUAAUCGAGUAUCCAUCCUACUCGUGCGAAGUCUUUGCAUUCUUUCCUCAAUUAUUUCAACCGGUGUUUUCUCUUCAAGCUAUUCGUCGGAUCUCCCUUCCAAGUUGCCUUCGUUUUUCCCGCCCUCCCACCCCUUCUUCUUCCCGGAGCCUGAGUCUCUUUCGAGCAUCAAUUUCAUUCGUGCGGAGCCUCUUCAGCCCUCCCUCAUUUAUUUCAACCGGUGAAUUCUCGUCUCGUUUGACAUUCUUUAUCUCUUUUUCUUCUCCGGUGGACUCAAUUCAAGUUUUUCGGGUUGAUCAUAUUCUUUUCCUUGGAUCAAGUGUUCCCCUUGCUCGUUUUCCUCUCACCAUUUAAUCAUUAUGGAGUGCGGAAGACAUCUCAGGACAUUUAUCUGUGUUCCAAUUAAUUCGAGGUUGUCACCUCAUUCAAAUAUUUCAAUUGUUCUGGUGCAUCAUCUAUCUCUUUAACAAUCCUUUUUCAACGGCGUUUUCUUCUAGUGGGCCCUAACCUAUAGGUUUUUUCCCAGUAUCUUACUUGACUCUUCUAAUUAUUUUGGACUUAUUUUCAAAUUCUUUUCAAACUGUGACGUAAGAAUGGAUUCCAUCAGUCACAUGCCUUCUCCAAGAUCUUUCAAAUUCUUUUCAACUUUGGUUCGACCUUUCCUCUUUUCAUUCUUCCGGAGUGUCUCAACAAUUUUAGUGGUGUUUCUCGUCGUCAGACCGAAGAAGAGUUCCUUCUAAAUCUUGUCCUUUUCUCUCAAAGACUCGUGGUUCCGGCUUCUUGUUAUCCUCUCAAGCUAUUCCGUUUGUUAAAAAUUCUUUCCUCGCCCAUCCGGAGUAUGUCAGGAGUUGUUUUUCCGUUCUGUUUCACCGGAGGCCAUCAUUCCAGAAGAAUUCCUUGUCCUCAUAGUCCAGCUAUCGUUAUUCAAUUAUCCCGGUGCAUCUGUCAAGUAUUCUUUAAUAAGCUCGUUGUCUCUUCGUUCUUUUGCAUCCAAAUCCCAUCAAGCAUAUUUGUUCUUCUAAUUCUUCUCGUUGAUUCAUUCUCUUUCAUCAGUCAUUUUCGAACUAUUACGGUGGUUCGUUCAAGAUUCCUUUUCCUUUGUUAUCAUAUCAAUUCAUUCGUUCUUUCCAUCCUACUGGUGGUUCAGGAAGACCUUCCUCAAGUUUGUGCUAUAUCUCUUCUUAAUCCUUUUCCAAGAGGAAUAAGUUGCAUGCCAAAUCCAUUUGUCAUCAAUUAACAUUGAUGAGGAUAAGCAUAACGUAAUUCUUAUUCGCAUUCCAUCAUGGUUAAGUAGUUCUUUCCUUCGAAGAUUGUUCAUGAUGAAUAAUUUCUCAGUUCUAAGUUGUUCAUCUUUUCUUAUCCAGAGUUCCAAGUUUUCUAGCUUGUCUCGUCGUGAAGCUCCAUCUAAAUCAUCGCAAGACCUCAUCUUUUUCUUUUUAACCUUCGCUUCUUUAAUCCUUUUGUUUACCGGUGUUCUUCAUGGCGGUUUAUAAAGGAUUAAAUUCAUUCUUCAAAGAGUUCGUGAAGAAUCUUUUGAAGGACAUCAAGUAUCUUGUCUUCUUGUGUCUCGAAGUGCAACUAAUUCUACGUAUUCUUUUGAAGUGGAGUUUUGCAUUUCUUCAUUCUUCUCGGCUAUUCAAUCAUUUGGUUGUGGCAUAAUUUCACCUCAAGUUUGAGAUAUUUUUCCAUAAGUCCACAACAAGAUGAUUCUUUUGUUGUUGAUUUUCUCAACAACUCCGUUCAAUCCUUCCUUUUAAGGAUGCUAUCAAAUUCAUUUGCGGUAGAAGAUGUUGUUUUCUCCUCCGUUCUUUUCAUUACACUCUUUCAAUUGUUCCGGAGGCAUUGUGUUGUUGCUCUCGUCAAGUAUCAUUCCAUCUUGUCAAGCUCAUGUUCUAUUCCAUUCAUGUUCAACUUGAGUGUUGUCUAAAUUUUCUUGUUCUUAUUCCGUGUCUAUCUCGCUUAACUGGAGUGGUUUCAUUGUCUCUCUUGUCACUUAAGCUCUUGGUUCUCGUCGUAUUCCUUGUAUUCCUCGUUUUACCGGAGACCCUCAAUCUCGUUCGUCUCCGUUGUACCCUUUCCUCUAAGUUUUUCAACCUCUCAAGGUUCUUGGGUUUCACUUAUUUAUCCAAGAAGCAACUUUGUUUUCCUAUUCCUCUUCCGUCUCGUUCCUAACAUCUUGGGACGAGAUCUCUUGUUAGUGGAGGAGAGUUGUAAUGCCCCGAGACCGAUGCUCCAGAUGUCUUCCAUUUAGUUUAGUUGUUACCAUGUGUUUUUUAUGUUUGUUGCAUUAUCAUAAUUGUUUUGCAUAUUUAUUUUCCCUAUGUUGUUGCCAUGAUCAGGAUGGGUGCCAUUGUUAUUUUUGCUUCUUGCAUCAUGUUCAUCUUUUAUUAUAUUGCAUUGCGCCAUCCUUGCUUUGUUCUAUGCUUCAUGAUGUGUUAUUUCCUAUGUCAUUUUUGUUGCAUUGCAUCAUGAUCAUCAUGCCUUGGGUUGCAUAUUUAAGUUUUGUUAUGUGUUCUUGUGUGAAUCCUCUUCUUCUUAUCUCCACCUCAUUUCUUCACCAUGCACAUAGCAGCAGCUAUUCAUCAAGUUCACCCAAGUUUCUAUCCCAUCCUAACUUCUCCUUUCUUCUUUAUUCCAUUUAUUGUUUUCUUGUGACAUUUUUCCUGUUCAAGAAAAUGUUCAACAUUUCCUUAUAAAUCCUAUAUGAUGCCUACACUCACUCCCUCUGCAAAAUUUCAGGUCGUUUGGACUUGUUUUGGUUGGGUUCAAAAAU
rnacentral:lncRNA from 1 species